rnacentral:snRNA from 1 species
GGAUGUGAGGGUGAUCUGGCUGCGACAUCUGUCACCCCAUUGAUCCCCAGGGCUGAUUCGGCUGAUCUGGAUGGCUAGGUGGGCUUCCCCUUCCUCCCUCACCGCUCCAUGUGUGUCCUUCCCGAAGUUGCACACUUGGUUGACGAGGACGACCUUCCCCGAAUAGAGGAGGACCGGUCUUCGGUCGAGGGUGUUCGAGUAGCUACGCUUCCCUGCUAGGACCUCCAAACAAGCUCUUAAGACCAAAGUCAGCUGGGUGACAAUCAUCUACGCUGAGGAA